GUUUCAUUUUCUUGUUUUGCAGGUUGUGAUCCUUCAGUCAUCCGCGAACAACAAUCUAAGGAAUUAUGGUUGGAGACGAUUAUGACAAUGGUAACGAGCAUGAUGAUUUCACUUCUUCCUUAUUUACCAGCGCUCCGGCUUUGUCGCAUACACCACAUAGUUUGUUGAUGUUACUGGUAUAUACAAAUGUGGGGGGUUUACAUUCUAUUUGUAAGCUAAAGAGUCAGGUAAGUCUCCUUAGCUAAUCUGCCUCAACCGAAUAUGAUUUGUACUCUAUCCUAUUAAAACUUUUAAACUGAGUAUUCAAUUUAGCUUACUAGAAAUACAUCUUAUUGAAAUUUACUCGAUGUUAUAAAAUGAUUUAGGCGUGUUUUUAUUUUGAAUACCUGGGUAGAUCUUUUUUUAUAAUUGGAAAUAAAUUUGAGAAAUUAAAAGAGUACCUUAAAGCAAUAUAUAAUGUCUAUUUUGAUUCAUCUUGAAUUCAAAUAUAUUUUUUUUUUUUUUGAAGGAUAAAAGUAGAAAUGCGGUGAGCGUGGAUCGUUGAAUUCAAAUAUAUUAAAUUGAUAGAUAUUGGUAAAGUUAUGGAUUUUAUUAUGAAGGUUGGUACAUUCUUCUAACAAUUCAACUUUUAGCAUUGUCAAAGUGGAUAUGCAUCAAAUUAGAUGCACUUAUCGAAUGCCCAUCCAAAGAAUUUUACAGGAUCACAUGGUGGAAUGAUUUUGACGGCUGAACUUAAUGAAUUCUCUUGCAUAGGAGUAUAUUAAUUUGGAAGAUAAUGCACUACAUAACUAUUUCUUUAUGGUGUGAAGUUUGUAUACUGUGAUGAAGAUUUACUAUACUAUUUAGUGGCCAUGGAAAGGCAAUCAAUAUUUACUUAGUUGAGCAAGGAGAUGAGGUAUGUCUUCAGCUUGCUUGAAUAUCUUUUAUGAAGCUAAAUUUUUAUUUACAUAAGAAGAAGACCUUUAUAUUAAUAUGUAAGGUAUAAGACAAUCAAGUUUGAUUUGUGGUCUAAGAUAAUAAGGAUGUGUGAUAGUAUAAUACACUACACAAGAAUAUUGUUUUGAAAAGCUUCUUAUGAAGUUUGUAUUCUGAAAAGCGAGAUGAGUAUCCCUUAUGAUCAAUACUACUUGGAAAAAAGAAUUGAUGUUUAAUUCACUUGUGACAAUUUAAUUGAAAUCCAUAUAUCCUUAAACAUUUAUACACAUAUGUG
rnacentral:lncRNA from 1 species